rnacentral:tRNA from 1 species
GUUAAGUUAGUUUAAACAAAACAUCAGCUUGUGGAUUUGAAAAUGAAAAUAUUAUUUCACUUAACC